rnacentral:rRNA from 1 species
GAUCAAGCUACUAAGUGCAAACGGUGGAUGCCUUGGUGCCAAGAGGCGAUGAAGGACGUAGAAAGUUGCGAUAAGCUUCGGGGAGCCGCUGAACAGGCUUUAAUCCGAAGAUCUCCGAAUGGGACAACCCAAUGGUCUUAACCGGCCAUUAUUGCAGGAUGAAUUCAUAGUCCUGCAAAGCGAAACGGGGUGAAGUGAAACAUCUCAGUAACCCCAGGAAAAGAAAACGAAAUGAUUCCGUCAGUAGUGGCGAGCGAAAGCGGAACAGUCUAAACCGAAGAAACUUGUUUCUUCGGGGUUGUGGGACCUUAAUGUGGCAGGUGAACGACGAGCUUAACGAUUUGGAAAAAUCGACCAGAGACCGUGAUAGUCGGGUAAGCGAAGUCCGAAGCCGCCUAGAGGUAUCCCAAGUAAUGCGGUGCACGUGAAACUCUGCAUGAAUCCGUCCCGACCACGGGAUAAGACUAAAUACUCCUUGGCAACCGAUAGUGAACUAGUAC